UACAGAGGUCCCAAGCGUUGUUCGGAUUCACUGGGCGUAAAGGGUGCGUAGGCGGUCGGGUAAGUCUGAUGUGAAAUCUCACAGCUUAACUGUGAAACUGCAUUGGAUACUAUUCGGCUUGAGAGUUGGAGGGGGGGACUGGAAUUCUUGGUGUAGCAUGAAAUGCGUAGAUAUCAAGAGGAACACCAGUGGCGAAGGCGAGUCCCUGGACAACUUCUGACGCUGAGGCACGAAAGCUAGGGGGAGCAAACAGG
rnacentral:rRNA from 1 species